UUCUUCUCCUUUCUUUUUCAGACAAGCCUCACAGCAGGACCAUCCUCAUGCCUCCUUUAACCUUGCAGUAGGAAAGCUGAAAAACACAACUGGGCCCAAGGAAGUCGGGUUAGGUGUUUGUCAAGAUACUGGGCUUAUUAAGAAGAAGAGGAGCAACAAUAAAAACUACCUUUGUGAACUAUACAUUUUUGCAGGAUAAACAGGUAAAAACCAUGUCCGUGAGCCAGGUAU
rnacentral:lncRNA from 1 species